CAUUAUGAACCAUCUGUUCGGUGCAUGUACGCACUGAAAACGCAAGUUUCUUUCCUGAAGUCGGUUGUUUGUAGAUGAAGGUGAGGACGAUCAGCAAAGCGAUUACUAAAAUCGCUAGGGGCGCAAUGAUCGUGGCUUCUCCAUUCGCUAUAUCCUUGGCAUACAGCGAAGCUAUGACACCGAUGCAGACGCACAAAACAACUACGAAAUAAUACGCUGUGAGGUAACGUCAAUCGGAAGAGAAGACAACAAAGGAGAAUAGCUAGUCUUACGGUAGCAAACGACUAGACCUCGGAUCACGAUCUCCCUUCUUUUCGUAUGCUUCGCUUUCUUCGUACCUGGAACACGGAGAACGAUAAUUUAUGUAGGUUGCUACCUGUUGAUCAGUUCAGGUCAGCGCGGGUCACGCGUGAUGCCAUUGUUACCGCAGUAUUAACACGCAAGUUGCAACGAUCGAGUAGGCGAGCAGCGUUCCGAUGCUCAUCAUGUUGACCAGUUGCGUCAGUUCGAAUAUUGCGGCCAGCACACCUGCGAACAUGUUCAAUUACGAUUGCAUGCGUACUGGUGGUAGACAAACCUGUGAGAAGUCCCGCAGAGAAGGUGCCCAUGAGUGGCGUCUGGAAACGCGAGCUGACCUUGCCCAUCCAUCCGAAUAUCAAUCCGUCCGAGGCCAUGGCGUAGAUAACUCGAGAGGGCAGAUUUACCUAGCGCACAGGCCGCAGAUAGCACCGAUCGUGACGAUCCAUUUCGCCCAGCUCCAGCCGAUCUUGUCGAAGAGAUGCGGGAAUGGUGCGUCCGGGUUCUGCUCGUAGUACGGUAGAACGGUGGUGAGGACCGUGGAGACUCCGAAGUACGCCAGGAAGACGACGGUCAACGAAACCACGAUCGCUAUUGGAAUGGACUUUUGUGGCUCCUUCGCCUCCUCGCCAGUGGUCGCCACGCAAUCGAAACCGAUGAAUCCGUAGAAGCAUGUCGCAGCUCCUGUUAUGAUGCCGGCGAUGCCAUAAGGCGCGAAUCCUCCGGUCCCGUAAUCGCAGCUGUCUUCCGUGCAUGGAGGCUUCGUUUUCCAAUUGGUUACGUCAGCUUCGGCCAUAGCGAAUUACAAAGUUGAUUAAUUACACUCGGUCGGACCAAAGAAUAAUCUUUAUUCAUAUUUCGAUGCCUUUGCUGGAUCAACAAGCGUGUUGCUGAAUUACCUUUGAACGAUCCAGCGAUGAUCACGAACAAAACCACCAGCAGGUUCACCAAGGUGAAGAAGUUGUUCGCCACAGAUGACUCCUUCGCCCCAAAGGCUAGCGCAGCUGAGAAAACCGAUUUCCGAUCAAGAAUCACAGAGGAAGAGGAAGCUAGUCUGGAUCCAUGACAAUAGAUCGUUCAUUAUGAAAAUGGUCGCUUUUGUUAUUAAAAGAAUAGAUGUAGUUCUCCUUAAAACGGAUUCUGGUAUUUAGAUUUGACGGGUGUCCAACGGAUACGGACCACUGUGGCGGGUAGUUUCGUAACGAGAAGUCCCAUAGGUAGACGCCGAUUGUUUACCCGAACGUGGGCGCUUACCGGAAAAGAUUAGAGUCACUCCAAAUGCGAAGAAGUCCGGAUAAGAGGACAGGUGACUGAUGUCGAUGGGCGCCGCCGAUUCGAACGCGUUCCUCAUCGUGUUGUUGAACAACGCGUCCACGUAGGUGCUCAAGCCGCGUACCACGCUCGCCGAACCGAUCACGUACUCCAGGAUCAGCGUCCAACCGAUCAGAAAAGCCGUGAACUCCCCCACGGUCACGUAGCUGUACACGUAUGCCGAUCCGGCUCGCGGAACUCGAGCCCCGAAUUCGGCGUAACACAAUCCUAAUUCAUGAAAAGAAACGUCUUUUAACAGUUCUGGACAGACGAAGUAGGGAAAUGUAGAGCCUGUGGAGGCGGAAGUAGAACAAUAUGUAAAAGAAAGGGCGAAGAAAAUAAAUUGAGAAGCUGAAACGAAUGCGUUAUUAAGUAGGGCAUUCGAAAAGAGGACGAUAGAACGAAGUAGCAAUUGCAGACCAGAGAAUUGUAUGUACAACGAAACUUCUUUUAAUACACUCGCGUUAGACACUUGUUUCAUUUGACAGAGAAGAAGACGUUCAUUCCUAAAGAUGGACGAUGGUCAAGACGAAGGAGUCGUCAAGGUGCUAUGAAAUUUAUUCGACUAUCGUGGAUGCAAUAAAGUGUUUUACGCGCGAGCGUAAACAUAUGAUGGGACUGCGAGGAUCAGGAUGAAGCAGACAACUUUUGAACUGUACCUGCGAACAUGGAAGCGAUCGCCGCGAUGGCGAAAGAGAUUAUCACGGCAGGCCCAGCGGUUGUUUUCGAGACCGAUCCGGCGAGCACAUAAACACCCACGCCGAGAGUCGAACCGAUUCCUAACGCCGUUAAGUCCAACGUGGUCAGACACCUCGCCAGCUUGGUGUCCUGCUGAGGAGUCACAUCCUUCUUCCGGCCGAAGGCUCUCAGAAGGUCCGCAGUUUUCCACGACCUCAUGUUGUACAACUGAAAGAAACAAACGGAAAGAGUUCAAUCUUCUUAACACGUAAUGAAGAUUAAUCCUCUGAAAGCUCCGAAGCUUACCUUGUACAGGGUGCAACUCAUCGACGAGUUCAUUUCGACGCAGAAAAUCGUUUAGCGAACACGUACGAACAGACUUGAGUUGCUAACGCGACGAUCGCACGGCCCUCGACUCUCGACUAAAGAGACGCUAAUUGAAAUGUCUUUAAAUCAAGUUGGAAGAUAUCGGUCGUCGAGUACGAUUGAACCGCGUUCAAUUGGUUGGAAUCGUUUCAUCGCCCCGCGGCUAGAUUAGAAUCGACCGCUCUGAUGGUUUGUUGAUUCUCUCCGAUAAGUUUAUCGAUCCCGAGUUAUUCAACGUUUUUUAUGGGUAUAGAUCGAAAAGCAGAUUUCUCGCUUAAUCUCAUUAAAUGCUCCAACCUUGGCCUUUAUUAAAGAAUUAAAGAAAAAUGGUUUUCUGAUCGGUUGACGUGAAUUAUUUUAUCUAGUCUAGCGAAUCGUUUACGGUAAAUGUAUAAUGUCACUGUAUCACGUGCUUUGUGACUCGUUACUUAUAGUUAAGACGGAUUGCCUGAUGCAAUGCAGUAUCGCGUAUCGAAUCGAAUUCAUCUGAAUUAUUUUCCACAUACCUACUGUGAAUAUUACUCGUCCGCGGAAUAUUCUUUCAGUUUCUCUGCCGAUCCCGGACUGGUUCGGGAAAACUAUAUUGUUAAAGACCCUACUUAUUCUUAUCUGAUAUUGAUUACUCUUUGAACAUGAUAUGUAUGUGGUACGCUGUUGAUGAUACAUCAUCCAGCUGUAAUAUCAAGAGCAUGAGGGAGACAGUAAACAGUAAGAGGAAAUUAUGUCGACGAUAUAAAAUAUGAACAUUUAUUUCUAUAAAAUAAUGCACUCGCGUUAACUGCACUCGUAGCCGCAGCAACAAAUAUAAAAUAUUUAUAAUACUAUAUACUUUGUGUCAAUAUAAUACAAAAGAAUGGACGGAUUUAUUAAUACUUUAACCCUGUAACGGCGCACUAGACUUUCUGAGACUCGUAGCAUCUUCUCUUCCUGCAUCAUGGAAUCAUUGAAAAUAUGAAGCGUUGAGAAGCGUCUUUAGUGAGAUUCUAUUGUAACAUUUCCGAAGAAACUGUGUGCUCUUCCAGGGUUAAGCAUUCUGAAUAAUCCUAACGACGUCUGUGAUACCUAUGGCAGUUCUGUGAACAUAUACAGAGUAUCUAGUUGUCGUGUCGCAUGCACACAAUUGCUUAACUAUUUUGUCAGCUUGUUCGUUGAUUGUUUUUCCACUGGGUGAAAGUCCAUGUGUUAAUCUGUUCUACUCCAUAAGUUCAACAUGUACAUCAUGAUUAUAACACCUAUUGUCCAGGAUGGGUGCAACUUCUCGACACCAGACUGAAUAAUUAAAAGAAAAUAUAUUCUAACUUGUCAAAGACAAAAGCAUUAAAGUGUAUCGUUACCCACAA